AGAGUUUGAUCAUGGCUCAGGACGAACGCUGGCGGCGUGCGUAAUACAUGCAAGUCGAGCGAGCUUGCCCUAGAUGAUUUUAGUGCUUGCACUAAAUGAAACUAGAUACAAGCGAGCGGCGGACGGGUGAGUAACACGUGGGUAACCUGCCCAAGAGACUGGGAUAACACCUGGAAACAGAUGCUGAUACCGGAUAACAACACUAGACGCAUGUCUAGAGUUUGAAAGAUGGUUCUGCUAUCACUCUUGGAUGGACCUGCGGUGCAUUAGCUAGUUGGUAAGGUAACGGCUUACCAAGGCAAUGAUGCAUAGCCGAGUUGAGAGACUGAUCGGCCACAUUGGGACUGAGACACGGCCCAAACUCCUACGGGAGGCAGCAGUAGGGAAUCUUCCACAAUGGACGAAAGUCUGAUGGAGCAACGCCGCGUGAGUGAAGAAGGGUUUCGGCUCGUGAAGCUCUGUUGGUAGUGAAGAAAGAUAGGGGUAGUAACUGGCCUUUAUUUGACGGUAAUUACUUAGAAAGUCACGGCUAACUACGUGCCAGCAGCCGCGGUAAUACGUAGGUGGCAAGCGUUGUCCGGAUUUAUUGGGCGUAAAGCGAGUGCAGGCGGUUCAAUAAGUCUGAUGUGAAAGCCUUCGGCUCAACCGGAGAAUUGCAUCAGAAACUGUUGAACUUGAGUGCAGAAGAGGAGAGUGGAACUCCAUGUGUAGCGGUGGAAUGCGUAGAUAUAUGGAAGAACACCAGUGGCGAAGGCGGCUCUCUGGUCUGCAACUGACGCUGAGGCUCGAAAGCAUGGGUAGCGAACAGGAUUAGAUACCCUGGUAGUCCAUGCCGUAAACGAUGAGUGCUAAGUGUUGGGAGGUUUCCGCCUCUCAGUGCUGCAGCU
rnacentral:rRNA from 1 species